rnacentral:rRNA from 1 species
UGGGGAAUUUUGGACAAUGGGCGCAAGCCUGAUCCAGGCAUGCCGCGUGCAGGAUGAAGGCCUUCGGGUUGUAAACUGCUUUUGUACGGAACGAAAAGUCUCUUUCUAAUAAAGAGGGAUCAUGACGGUACCGUAAGAAUAAGCACCGGCUAACUACGUGCCAGCAGCCGCGGUAAUACGUAGGGUGCAAGCGUUAAUCGGAAUUACUGGGCGUAAAGCGUGCGCAGGCGAUUAUGUAAGACAGUUGUGAAAUCCCCGGGCUCAACCUGGGAACUGCAUCUGUGACUGCAUAGCUAGAGUACGGUAGAGGGGGAUGGAAUUCCGCGUGUAGCAGUGAAAUGCGUAGAUAUGCGGAGGAACACCGAUGGCGAAGGCAAUCCCCUGGACCUGUACUGACGCUCAUGCACGAAAGCGUGGGGAGCAAA